AGGAGGAACAGCCCCAGUGGCAGGACCAGCUCUGGAGCCCUGGAUUCAGCCCCCGCAGAACUCCAGAGGUCUCCGUCUGCAGGGCCUGGAGGCUCCGGGGCGGG
rnacentral:pre_miRNA from 1 species